rnacentral:rRNA from 1 species
AUUGAACGCUGGCGGCAGGCCUAACACAUGCAAGUCGAGCGGAUGAAGAGAGCUUGCUCUCUGAUUUAGCGGCGGACGGGUGAGUACUGCCUAGGAAUCUGCCUGGUAGUGGGGGAUAACGUCCGGAAACGGGCGCUAAUACCGCAUACGUACUACGGGAGAAAGCCGGGGACCUUCGGGCCUUGCGCUAUCAGCUGAGCCGUGGUCGGAUUAGCCAGUUGGUAAGUUAAUGGCUCACCAAGGCGACGAUCCGUAACUGGGCUGAGAGGAUGUUCAGUCACACUGGAACUGAGACACGGUCCAGACUCCUACGGGAGGCAGCAGUGGGGAAAUAUUGGACAAUGGGCGAAAGCCUGAUCCAGCCAUGCCGCGUGUGUGAAGAAGGUCUUCGGAUUGUAAAGCACUUUAAGUUGGGAGGAAGGGCAGUAAGUUAAUACCUUGCUGUUUUGACGUUACCGACAGAAUAAGCACCGGCUAACUUCGUGCCAGCAGCCGCCGUAAAAC